GCAGCCCUCAGCCUGGUGCUGUCCCCUAGGCGGGACCGAGCCCCAGAUAGGCGGGGCACCAGGAAGGGAGCGCGGGAAGCGCCUGGCGCUGCGCUGCAUCCAGCCGGAGAUGGGCUGCAACAGGGUGAGGGUCUGGGGGAGGGGGACGGAGGAGGGCCCGGGUUCUGCGUCCUCUACGUGGAUCGGUCGCCUCCAGCCAAGGGUCUGCACGCCCCCUCCUCUUCUUAGACUCCUCUGGCCUUGCCCCUCCCUCUCACAUUCCCAACUCCCAAGGACAACUUGUCGCUUCAGAAACCCUCGGGGCUUCUUUCUGUCCCCCAGACUCUUUCUCCCCUACUUCUUUUGUCUAUGUCUGCAUUUGACGGCUUCUCUGGGAAGCGAUCCCCGCAUCUCCUUCUCUCUUGUCCGUUCUCUCUCUCUCUCUCUCUCUCUCUCACACACACACACACACACACACACACACACACACACACACACACACACGAGUCUCUCUGUCUGCCGGCCAUCUCGGCGCCUUUCCUCCGCGGCUUUGGCCUUUCCCCACGCCGCGCAAGGCCCACUCUUGGAACCGCCGCGCGGUCAUCCGACGGCGCCCCAGGAAGGGGGCAGGUGAGAUUGGCGGGGGCCCCGCCCGGGCGGAGCGGAGGACGGUGGCGCCCGCGCCAAUGCGCCCCCUCGGCCCUGUCCUCGCCCCUGUCGCCCCCUCGCCGGCUCCAGGGGGAUAGAGGACGCACGAGCCUCCUUGCACCCGGGCGCCCCAGACCUAGACUCUGCGCCCAGAGGCCUCACGGGCGGGGGGCGGCAGCCCGAAGCCGCCGAGCCCUGGGCCCCGGAGUCGGCACCUGGGUCCCUAGCUCUGGCGCGCCCAAAGCCCGGGUCGCUGCAGCCUCUGAAGACGCGCGGAGGACGGCGCGGUUCGGAGAGAGGGCGCCAAAGGCGACGCGCCGGCGGCCAGCUGGUGGCCAAGCCCAGCGCGUCUGCGAAGCGGCCGAAUCACCACCGCGGGACCCAGAGCAGCGCGAGGACUCAACGCCAGGGCGCCGCCUAGAGGUCGGCCGCGGCCUCGGCUCCCCCGCCAGCGACAGCAGAGCGGCUUCCCCGUGGCGACCAGAAAUCCGGGUCAGAAAAAUCCAGCCUGGGUCUCAGGGAUGCGGCUUCCGGCACCUCAGACUGCUCUGA
rnacentral:lncRNA from 12 species